UACGGGGGGGGCAAGCGUUGUUCGGAAUUACUGGGCGUAAAGGGCUCGUAGGCGGCCAACUAAGUCAGACGUGAAAUCCCUCGGCUUAACCGGGGAACUGCGUCUGAUACUGGAUGGCUUGAGUUUGGGAGAGGGAUGCGGAAUUCCCGGUGUAGCGGUGAAAUGCGUAGAUAUCAGGAAGAACACCAGUGGCGAAGGCGGCUCACUGGCCCGAUACUGACGCUGAGGCACGAAAGCGUGGGGAGCAAACAGG
rnacentral:rRNA from 1 species